CCGCCCUUUUGUCAUGUGACGGCUGAGGGAGCCCCGGGCGGAAGCCGGGGUCUGGCCGGCUGUGGAUAAGGGCUGGGGGUAGAAGGGAACCCCUGCGGAGACGGAGGGGUGGUGGCCGGGGCGCUGACUCCGCGUGCGACCGCCGGCCCUGCGCGUGCGCCCUGGCGCGGCCUGCGUGACAGGAAGUGAUGUUCAGCUGCUUAGUCUGCAUCUGAGCCUUCCAAGUUUCCGGGAGCAGUGUUCUGUGGACGUCGUCAUUUCUCCAUUUACUCUCCAGAAACCUGAGUGGUUGGUGGAAACUUCUACGGUCUGACGGACCCGGGUUUGAAUUCCAGUUCUACCACGGGCUGCCUGUUACCUCAUGGUCUCAAGGUGGCUACUGCAGCUUCAGGCAUCAAAUAUUCAUUGGACCACACUCAAAGGCAAGAAGAAGGGGGAUAGCCGGAGCAACAAGAGAAAUUUCUCUUGACAUGCCUCUCUCCUUGUAGCUGGAGAAAAAAAAACAUUUCUUAAAAGUUCUGCCAUAGACUUCUUCUAUCUCAUCGGUCACAAGUCCUUUAAUGGAGCGGCCAGUAUAUCUGCAGACCUGGUUUCAUCUGAUGAUUUACAGACCCCAGCUCUGAAGCCAUUUACACAUUUUCCUGUGGCCGGGCACAGAGUAGUUGAUUAUCCUCACGAUGUUGGACUUUUUGGCUGAGAAUAACCUCUGUGGCCAAGCAAUCCUAAGAAUUGUUUCCUGUGGCAAUGCCAUCAUUGCUGAACUUCUGAGGCUCUCUGAGUUUAUUCCUGCUGUAUUCAGGUUAAAAGACCGAGCUGAUCAACAGAAAUACGGAGAUAUCAUAUUUGAUUUCAGCUAUUUUAAGGGUCCAGAAUUAUGGGAAAGCAAACUGGAAGCUAAGCCAGAGCUACAGGAUUUAGAUGAAGAGUUUCGGGAAAACAACACAGAAAUUGUGACCAGAUUUUAUUUAGCAUUUCAAAGUGUGCAUAAAUAUAUUGUAGACUUAAACAGAUAUCUAGAUGAUCUCAAUGAAGGUGUUUAUAUUCAGCAAACCUUAGAAACGGUGCUUCUCAAUGAAGAUGGAAAACAACUUCUAUGUGAAGCACUGUACUUAUAUGGAGUUAUGCUCCUGGUCAUCGACCAAAAGAUUGAAGGAGAAAUCAGAGAGAGAAUGCUCGUUUCUUACUAUCGAUACAGUGCUGCUCGAUCUUCUGCUGAUUCGAAUAUGGAUGAUAUUUGUAAGCUGCUUCGAAGUACAGGUUAUUCCAGCCAACCAGGAGCCAAAAGACCACCCAACUAUCCCGAGAGUUACUUCCAGAGGGUGCCUAUCAACGAGACCUUCAUCAGCAUGGUCAUCGGUCGGCUAAGAUCUGAUGAUAUUUACAACCAGGUCUCAGCAUAUCCAUUGCCAGAACAUCGGAGCACAGCUCUGGCAAAUCAGGCCGCCAUGUUGUAUGUAAUUCUCUACUUUGAGCCUUCCAUUCUUCAUACCCAUCAAGCAAAAAUGCGAGAGAUAGUGGAUAAAUACUUUCCAGAUAAUUGGGUAAUUAGUAUUUACAUGGGGAUCACAGUUAAUCUAGCAGAUGCUUGGGAACCCUACAAAGCUGCAAAAACUGCUUUAAACAAUACCCUGGACCUUUCAAACGUCAGAGAACAGGCAAGCAGAUACGCUACUGUCAGCGGAAGGGCGCACGUACAAGCGCAGCAGUUCCUGAAAGAAGGUUGUUUGAGGGAGGAUCUGGUUCUGGAUAACAUCCCGAGGCUUCUGAACUGCCUGAGAGACUGCAAUGUCACCAUUCGUUGGCUGAUGCUUCAUACCGCAGACUCAGCCUGUGACCCAAACAACAAACGCCUUCGUCAAAUCAAGGACCAGAUUCUAACAGACUCUAGGUACAAUCCCAAGAUCCUCUUUCAAUUGCUGUUGGAUACUGCACAAUUUGAGUUUAUACUCAAAGAGAUGUUCAAGCAAAUGCUUUCAGAAAAGCAGGCCAAAUGGGAACAUUACAAGAAGGAGGGCUCAGAGCGGAUGACGGAGCUUGCUGAUGUCUUUUCAGGAGUGAAACCCCUAACCAGAGUGGAGAAAAAUGAAAAUCUUCAAGCUUGGUUCAGAGAGAUCUCAAAACAAAUAUUGUCUUUAAAUUAUGAUGAUUCUACUGCUGCGGGCAGAAAAACUGUGCAACUAAUACAGGCUUUGGAAGAGGUUCAAGAAUUUCACCAGUUGGAAUCAAAUCUGCAAGUGUGUCAAUUUCUUGCUGAUACUCGCAAGUUUCUCCACCAAAUGAUCCGAACCAUUAACAUUAAAGAGGAGGUCCUGAUCACAAUGCAGAUCGUUGGGGACCUUUCUUUUGCUUGGCAGUUAAUUGACAGUUUCACAUCUAUCAUGCAAGAGAGCAUAAGGGUAAACCCAUCCAUGGUCACUAAACUCAGAGCUACAUUCCUAAAGCUUGCCUCUGCCCUUGACCUGCCCCUUCUUCGUAUUAAUCAAGCAAAUAGCCCUGACCUUCUCAGUGUAUCUCAGUAUUAUUCUGGCGAAUUGGUGUCCUAUGUGAGAAAGGUUUUGCAAAUCAUUCCGGAAAGCAUGUUUACUUCCCUUCUAAAGAUCAUAAAGCUUCAGACCCACGAUAUCAUUGAAGUGCCGACCCGGCUGGACAAGGACAAGCUGAGGGACUAUGCCCAGCUUGGCCCACGAUAUGAGGUUGCCAAGCUUACUCAUGCUAUUUCCAUUUUUACUGAAGGCAUCUUAAUGAUGAAAACAACUUUGGUCGGCAUCAUCAAGGUGGACCCAAAACAACUGCUGGAGGAUGGAAUAAGGAAGGAGCUGGUUAAGCGUGUGGCUUUUGCUCUUCAUAGGGGAUUGAUCUUCAACCCUCGAGCCAAGCCAAGUGAAUUGAUGCCAAAGCUGAAAGAGCUGGGAGCUACCAUGGAUGGGUUCCAUCGUUCUUUUGAAUACAUUCAGGACUAUGUCAACAUUUACGGUCUGAAGAUUUGGCAGGAAGAAGUAUCUCGUAUUAUAAAUUACAAUGUGGAACAAGAGUGUAAUAACUUCCUAAGAACAAAGAUUCAAGACUGGCAAAGUAUGUACCAGUCCACACAUAUUCCAAUACCAAAGUUUACCCCUGUGGAUGAGUCCGUAACAUUUAUUGGUAGACUCUGCAGAGAAAUCUUGCGGAUCACGGACCCAAAAAUGACAUGCCACAUUGACCAGCUGAACACUUGGUAUGAUAUGAAAACCCAUCAAGAGGUGACCAGCAGCCGCCUCUUCUCAGAGAUCCAGAACACCUUGGGGACUUUCGGUCUGAAUGGGUUAGACAGGCUUCUGUGCUUUAUGAUUGUCAAAGAGUUACAGAAUUUCCUCAGCAUGUUUCAGAAAAUUAUCUUGCGAGACAGAACUGUGCAGGAUACUUUAAAAACCCUCAUGAAUGCCAUCAGCCCCCUAAAAAGCAUUGUAGCAAAUUCGAAUAAAAUUUAUUUUUCUGCCAUUGCCAAAACACAGAAGAUAUGGACCGCUUAUCUGGAAGCUAUCAUGAAGGUUGGGCAGAUGCAGAUUCUGAGACAACAGAUUGCCAAUGAAUUAAAUUAUUCUUGUCGGUUUGACUCCAAACAUCUGGCAGCUGCUUUGGAGAAUCUCAAUAAGGCUCUCCUAGCAGAUAUCGAAGCCCACUACCAGGACCCUUCACUUCCUUACCCCAAAGAAGAUAACACACUCUUAUAUGAAAUCACAGCCUACCUGGAGGCAGCUGGCAUCCACAACCCACUGAACAAGAUAUACAUAACAACAAAGCGCUUACCCUACUUCCCGGUUGUCAACUUUCUAUUUUUGAUCGCCCAGUUGCCAAAACUUCAGUACAGCAAAAACCUAGGCAUGGUCUGCCGAAAACCUGCCGACCCUGUGGAUUGGCCGCCACUCGUGCUGGGACUGCUCACCCUGCUGAAGCAGUUUCAUUCCCGGUACACAGAACAGUUCCUGGCAUUGAUCGGCCAGUUUAUCCGCUCCACAGUGGAGCAGUGUACAAGCCAGAAGAUACCAGAAAUGCCUGCAGAUGUUGUGGGUGCCCUUCUGUUUCUGGAGGAUUAUGUUCGGUACACAAAGCUACCCAGGAGGGUUGCUGAAGCACACGUGCCUAAUUUCAUUUUUGAUGAGUUCAGAACAGUCCUGUGACGUUUUUUGACUUCUGCGUCUUCAGUGGAAGGAUUAUCCUUAAAUCUUCCCACCGUCACUAAAAUGAACUUGGAAAUGAAAAGAAACCCGACUGCUCAAAGAACUGCAUUUUUUCCCUUUAUUGUGGGAAACGUCAGACGUUCUGAGUAAGAUGUAUUUCACGGAACUAAUUAAUUAAUAUUGUUUAAAUCAUGGUAUUAUAUACAAUUUAUAUCAUGUAGAAGCAGAACACAUUUUGUACUGCCUCUUAUAAAUGCUGAGUGUAAUUGUUGUGUAUAAAUCCAUUUAGUUUUAUGUUCUAGAGAGCUAUUUGUGCAACUCCAGAUUUUCAGUAAAAUAGUACUGCCAGUACCCAAAGUCAUCCUUCUGCCUAUGAUUCAAAAACCACAUAUUCACCCUGCAAAAAACCUUGUCUGGAAGGUAAGAGAGGAGCCUGGUAGGUCCAGUGUUGUGUCCAUGGUCACAUCCACGACAGGCUGGCAGGCACAUGGUGACUAGAGAGACUAGUAGCAGAUGCAGAGACCAUGCAAUCCGUGGACCACGUACCAUGGAAGUUUGUUCAUGUCUGAGGCUCAGUGUCCUCUUCCAAUCCAGAUACCUUGGGGGUUCCCUGCAGCCCUUCUGUAGGACUCCCCAACUUCAGCUGCUCCUUCCUCAGCAAGCCCUGAGCCCCACCCCAAGUCCCCACUCCCUUUUUUUUUUUUUUUAUAACAGCUUAGCCAUUAGCUUUUAACUCCUCCAAAAUCCUAAAUCACUUCUGAAUGAAAAUUACCCUGAAAGAGGAGCUGCCAUCCUCCUGUGGCGAUUUGGAUAAGAGCAAGAAAGGUGUUUUAACUCUGACUGUAUAGCUAUGUCCUCUGGAGAGGAGAGGUACAAGCAAAAGAAACAAACAAAAAACACCCAGUAUCUGAAAUGUGCUUGACAGUCAGUUAGCAAAUAGUAAGAAAAGCAGCAUUAAUUUGUAGUCAGGAGGCAAAGCUUGAGUCCUGAUUCUGCCACUAGUUAAACUUUGUCCCAGGGUAGCCUACUGGCAUCAUCUAUAAAAUCAGGGCUAAUGAUUUCUCUGGUUCCCUUCAGUUUUCUGAUUUUAUGAUAAGUUAUUUCUUUUGUCAGAAGGUCUCAAAUCCUAAGAUACUGGAAGAGAAAAAAAAUGACUUUGUAUGCUUCAUUUCACCAUCAUUGUAGAAAGGAUUUUAAAAAGCAUCUAGUCAGCAGAGGGAAGCAGAAGGCUUAUCAGCCCAGCUUGGUGGAAACCCAGGGAGGAAUUUUAAAAGUGAACUGAAAGUUGCCUGGCAUGUAAGGAGUUUGGGAGUCUCACCCACCGAAGCUGACACGUGAACUCAGCCGUCACUCAUAAACCCAACUGUCCUAAGAAAACCUGGAACACCCGUUUCCUCUGUGUCAUCGAAACAACUUACACAGAAAGCAGCCCAACUGGACCAGCAACACAUUCUCCACCAAGUUUGAAGUAAAGAAAACACGCUUUUCUUAGUUGAUGUAGGGAAUCUAAAAUAAAAGUUAAAAAUUACUCCCGAUCAAAUUAUCCACACAUUUAUGUUGGGUAUUAAUGAAAUGUCAGAAAAAAAUGAAUGUGUAACAUUUAUUACACCUUACAGAUAAUUUCUAAAAAAUCUAGUGCUGGCAUUUCAGCAACCCAAGAUUUCCUUUAAAUUUCAUAAGUCACAUUACACAUAGUAAUUUAAGUGUGAAUAAACUUUUUCUGCUAGUAAAUAAUUACUAAACAUGCAGGUCUUAGAAGUUAGUUAUUUAAAAGCUUAACUUGACUGUGUUGUAAAUUCAUUAAAUGAUGCAAACUACUUUCUUGUAAACACUUUUCUUAUAAAAACACAGUUCUAGAAACCAGAUUCCCAGUCUCUAAGAUGCCUGAUCCAUAUCUCUGAGCAGUAAAUUAUCAAGUAAAAAGAACAGCUGUGAAGAGUAAUAAUGCCUUAUAUGUGUACAUUUUUUAUACUUCUCAAAAUAAUUCAUUAAACCCUCACAACAUAAUAUAAUCAAUCAAUAACCUUUUUAAUAGUACAGAACCAAUGUUCUUCUCAAGUAUGUCUAGAUUGUUCUUCACAAAAGAUGAAAAAGGGUACAACAGGUAACGUUUUACUCCAAUAAAGCUCAUUCCUCCUCCACUAUUUCAUAACUUUUUUAAUGUUGUUUUGUCAGCAGAUUCAAACUCAUCAUGUACGAAACUCAAGAGCUUAGAAAAGCUUAGAAAGAAGAGCUUAGAAACACUCCAAAUUUAGUUCGUUUCUUGCCCAACCAGCCACUGUAACUUCCAUGCUCAACUAGCAAAAGAGAUUUGCUUGGCAUAUCACAGUAAGUUGUCUUUUCUUUUAGCAAGAACGAUGGCUAGAGACUCUGCAGGAAGUAUUUGUACUGUAUCAUCCUUUGUAAUCAGAUCACCAAAGCAUAGACCACUAGGGCCUCAGCCAGGUCACAGAAAUAGCUUUGUUGUAAACACCUGAGGUAAUGAGAUUCAAGUUAUAUUUAUUCUUGAAAACCUAAAGGUCUAGUUUUACUAACCUACCACUCACUAAUUUGUACACGGCCAUGGUUGGGAGGUGGCACAGAUGCCUUUUCCUCCAUUUCUACCACUGUUUCCGCUUAGUCAUGUUUUCCUUAACGUAUAGAUUGACCAUCACCUCAUAUGGAAACAAAAACAAAAGUGUGGGAAUAUUUCUGCUUGUGCACUUUAACAAAAUCUAGGCUUGAUAUGAAGCUCAUAUUCAUUUUACAAAAUACAACUUUGAAAAGAAAUUAAAACUAGUGUUCAGGAAGAAAAAGAUUAACAACUAUAUUGCCUUUUAAUUCAUGGCCAGAAAGAUCUUCCAUCACAGUCUCAUGCAUUUGCAUAAGAUUUGCAUCGCAAUCUUAUGCAUCUGAUUUGGACCAGAGGGGUGAAUAAUGACACAUUAGUGAGGUAUUGCUAUUAAGGCUGUCUCCGGAAGCAACAGCCUUCCACACAAAGUGGUGGAUACAUGAUGAUUAGAAAAAGUCUUGCUCAAGGGCUGAGUCAAAAAGGACUACCAACUUGGAAGUUAGCAAACUCAGGAAACAUUUCUAGUUCUGGCCUAAUCACUAACUUUUUUGUAAUUAAGUUCCCUUCCUGUGCUAAAACCCUGCACUUCAGCAAUAUUCUUUUAAAAAUAUCUGCACUUACCAUCUGUGGCAGAAAAUAAUUCAUAAAGAGCCUGAGCAAGGAUAUUCACAACAAAGGAAUGAGACGUUUUUCUUGUCCAAUAGAAUGAUUUUUUGGCCUGAAAAGGAAAAAGAUCACUUAUUAUAUGGUAAAGGGAAGGAAGAAA